rnacentral:rRNA from 1 species
ACGGGAGGCAGCAGUGGGGAAUAUUGGACAAUGGGGGAAACCCUGGUCCAGCGACGCCGCGUGAGUGAAGAAGUAUUUCGGUAUGUAAAGCUCUAUCAGCAAGGAAGAAAAUGACGGUACUUGACUAAGAAGCCCCGGCUAACUACGUGCCAGCAGCCGCGGUAAUACGUAGGGGGCAAGCGUUAUCCGGAUUUACUGGGUGUAAAGGGAGCGUAGACGGUAUGGCAAGUCUGAAGUGAAAUGCAUGGGCUCAACCCAUGAACUGCUUUGGAAACUGUCAAACUAGAGUGCAGGAGAGGUAAGUGGAAUUCCUAGUGUAGCGGUGAAAUGCGUAGAUAUUAGGAGGAACACCGGUGGCGAAGGCGGCUUACUGGACUGUAACUGACGUUGAGGCUCGAAAGCGUGGGGAGCAAACAGGAUUAGAUACCCUGGUA